ACUAAAGUGUACAGUAUUUUAAAUGGUAAUAAUUCACUAAAUUUAUUUGGCAAUCCAUGAAGUUUAACAAUAGUUUAACAUUUUUUAUGAUCGUUUAAAUAUAAAUCUACAUUGAAAGAACACUAUUUAAUAAAUAAAUUGACAAGUGCAAAGAAUAUAUCUUUAUUUUUGUGAGACCAUUUCGAUUUUUGGAGGUGGCGUAAUAGAGGAAGUCUGCGAAGUAUUUGACACAUCUAUAUUCGCUUGUCGGGCAGCUGCGGCAAUAUACGACCCGUAGUACCUACUAAGCAUGUGUGGAUCAACAUGGUUAAGUUCAAUGUAUGCAUCUGGAAUGGGAACUGUCAGGGCUGAUGGUUUUGCAGACAUUCCUCUAGUGAGCUAGACUCCUCGUGUUGGCUACUACUGCUACCCAAGGACCUGGCUGCGGAGCUGGAAAUUGAAAAGUUGUGCUGUUCCAUUUCUUCGUGGUCGUGGUCGGGAUCAUGAUCGGGAUCGGCAUCAAAUGAAGAUAGCCUGCCAUCGAUUAGGUACGAGUUAUUGUCCUCAAUGGAAAAUAUUUGCUUCAAA